rnacentral:rRNA from 1 species
AUGGGAACGCGAAGAACCUUACCUAGACUUGACAUCUUCUGCAUUAAUCGUAAUGGAUGAAAUCCCUUCGGGGACAGAAUGACAGGUGGUGCAUGGUUGUCGUCAGCUCGUGUCGUGAGAUGUUGGGUUAAGUCCCGCAACGAGCGCAACCCCUAUUAUUAGUUGCUAACAUUAAGUUGAGCACUCUAGUGAGACUGCCCGGGGUUAACCGGGAGGAAGGUGGGGAUGACGUCAAAUCAUCAUGCCCCUUAUGUCUAGGGCUACACACGUGCUACAAUGGUGGGAACAAAGAGAUGCAAUACCGCGAGGUGGAGCUAAACUCAAAACCCCAUCCCAGUUCGGAUUGUAGGCUGAAACUCGCCUACAUGAAGCUGGAGUUGCUAGUAAUCGCGAAUCAGAAUGUCGCGGUGAAUACGUUCCCGGGUC